CCCCAGCACCUUGCCCCCUAUAGCGUGGUGGCCUCCAACCCUGCGAGGACUGCCGUUAUUUUUAUUUUUAUUUUAUUUUUUUUUUUUUUUUGUCUAGCGAAAGACCUGUACCUCAAGGCGAGCGGGCCGCCUAAUUACAUAACUGUAACUCCGUAUCUCCGUGUUUCUACGUCUCCCUUUCCCCCCCCCCAGCCCACCCGCUGCUGGAGGAGGAUGCUGCGGCCGCGCGCGGAGCCAGGCCCCGGGCGCGCUUCUUGCUGGAAAACCCCGGAGCGAGGCCGUCAGCGUGUGGGGCUUGGUGCCACGGGCAGCCCGCCGCCGCCCCCGCGCCCAGGGGAUGAUGUAGAGGGCCAGGAGCGGCUGGGUGAUAGGGAGCAGCGGUCGCGCUAAGGCAAAACCAGGCAGGCGUCAGCGAAAACAACCCUUGUAGCUCAGUUUGGGGAACGAUAUUUUUGCUCUCAACACCGUACGAUGCUCUGCGUAGAGAAUCAAGUGUCUAAAGCGUGCCACAGGCAAGCCCUUCAACGCAGGAAUCUGAAAACCGUGGAGGAGUUGCCCGGAGUGGUUCCCAUGCUGCUGUGCAGUGGCGCGCAGCCGCUGCCAGGACAGAUUGAGUACAAGAUGGAGAUGAUCCUCCAAAGAUGCCUUUCACCAAAAAAAAAAAGCGCUCACUUUCUGCAGACAACCUCAUCGUGUUGGACCAGAGAUACUUCUUACCUUGGAAGAAAAGACAGGCUAUGGGCGCAGAUUGGGAAUUGGAAGACUCUCAAGAUAAAACAGAAUUGUCAUGUGGAGCUCCUUGUGAGGAAUCAGGCAAAAAUUCCUUUUCUGUUAGAGGGACCAAAGAGGCACCCUUUUCCCUCAAAGAGGGACCCUUUUUCUGUUCUUGAUUGCAGCAAAAUGACCUUGGAUUAGCCACUUCCUGCCCCCUGAGGUGGCUGCAAAGAUGACUGAGUACUGCAGAACUUCCUAGGUUACCUAAAAUAAAGACUUAAUUUGACUGGGUAACUUCGUGGGU
rnacentral:lncRNA from 1 species